CGGCAUGUAGCGCAGCCUGGUAGCGCACGGUCAUGGGGUGUCCGGGGUCGGAGGUUCGAAUCCUCUCAUGCCGACCA
rnacentral:tRNA from 1 species